rnacentral:lncRNA from 1 species
AUUCACUUGCCCUCACGAUCUCAUCCUUUGAAAAUUCCUUGAAACUUUUCAUCUUGUGAGAAUGGCACCAAAGGGAGAGAAGAAGCCGGCCGAGAAGAAACCAGUGGAGGAGAAAUCAAAGGCCGAGAAGGCUCCGGCGGAGAAGAAACCUAAGGCCGGGAAGAAGCUGCCGAAGGAAGCCGGCGGCGCAGGCGGCGAUAAGAAGAAGAAGAUGAAGAAGAAGAGCGUCGAGACGUACAAGAUCUACAUCUUCAAGGUCCUUAAGCAGGUUCAUCCAGAUAUCGGAAUCUCGAGCAAAGCCAUGGGGAUUAUGAACAGCUUCAUCAAUGAUAUCUUCGAGAAACUCGCUCAAGAAUCGUCUAAGCUCGCUAGGUACAAUAAGAAGCCUACGAUCACUUCUCGGGAGAUUCAGACUGCUGUUAGGCUUGUGCUUCCUGGUGAGCUCGCGAAACACGCCGUCUCCGAGGGAACCAAAGCCGUCACGAAAUUCACCAGUUCGUGAAAUUGCGUCUCGUGAUUCGAGAAUUUGGGGAAGGAUUUGUACAAUUAGGGUUUAUGAAUGUUAAGAGUUUCUAGAUUUCGAUUUCUGUUUCGUCUUUCGUAUUUCGAUGUAAUCAAUCAAAUCCAAUCUCUCUACGAAAUCAGUUGAUUUAUAUCUUUGCUUUUAUUCCUCCCCUACAAGUGAAUCGAUUUAUCGAAUUCGUUUCUUGCGAAUCUGGGUGUUACUUUGAAAACGUCGUCGUUUCGCUAGAGCAUUUAACCUAGAAAUGUUUCGCACUUGGCCUUUUUCUGAAUCAGUUUGUCUUAUUGUUAAAGAUGGCUAAGAGAUUCGCAACUCAACUCUUCGUAAGCAGUAAGAUAACGGUUUCUGAAUUAUCACCGAUUAGAUUAAUCCUCCGUUUACAUUCUCUGGUUUUCAGAUUUUUCUCUUGUGCAGGGUUAUCUGCUUACACCACAGAUCGAUCUCUGAGGCAGCUUUUUUCUCCUUUUGGUCAGAUUAAAGACGGUACAAACAAGAAACUCGCAUAUGUCUUUGAGGCUCGAUUAGGUUUAUGUUUUGUUCCCUAAUUUUGAGUUGUGGUUUUUAUUUAGCUCGGCUUAUUAGGGACCCAGAAACGCAGAGACCCAAAGGUUUCGGCUUCGUCACUUUUGAGUCUGAGGAUGAUGCCCAAAAGGCAUUGAAAAGCUUGGAUGGGAGGGUAAGGAAAAAUAUAAUUUUUUUUAAUUUCUCCAUCAAUAACUUGCCAGUUUCUUCGUACUUAGAUAUUAACUUCAAUACGUUUCUGGGUUUGUACUAAUCAAUUGCUUGAUAAUGCCUCCUUGUUCUCCAGAUGUUCCUUGGCACAUUAUUGUCCUAAACAAAGCUACUUUAGACCCUUUUGUGAUAAGUUUUUUAGGUGUCUAGAUCCAAGUUGUGUAAGAUCAUAUUGCCGAUUAGGGUGUGAAGCUUUAUCGAUUUUGGUUUCGUUCAUUGUGACUUAACUUCUUGAGAAGUUCACUGAAGUUGGAUUUGGUUCUUUUUGUAUGGUUUGCUGGUUUCAGAUUGUAGAUGGUAGACUAAUAUUUGUUGAAGUUGCCAAGAACGCAGAGGAAGCGACAACGGAUAUGAACAAGGACGACGACUAAUUUAGGCCCCGACACUUGAUGUAAUCAUGUAGACUUCUUUACAGUGUCGUAAUCAUGUAGACUUCUUUACAGAAUGUAUCAGAGAUGAUGAUCAGUUCCAUGUUUACAGCUCCAAAAGCUUGGAUGCAAUUCGUGAUAAAUGAUUGUUAGUCUUUUGUUUGUAGAAGAACAUCCGUUUCACUAUUGGACCGAUCUGGGCCUAUGAAUAUUGGGCCUGGUUGGGCGUCAACUUUUAAAAGUGGUUAGGCUACGAUCACAGUCUGGUAGGAAACCUGUCGCACAAAGCAAAACGUCAGCGUCCAUGUUUUUAUAAAUAUACCCUAAAUUUUCACGUGGCAAUCUUUGAUUGGAAUUAACCAGCUCCUCACCGCUAUAAUGAAAGCUGAGCGGAAAGUGGAGCCAACCGAAAGAGCCAUUAGAGUCAUGGACCUUUUAAUUUGAAUUUCGAUUUUUUUCAAAAGGUGCAAAAUAUUCGAUGCCAAUAAAAUAUAGAAUAAAUUACACUAAAAGGUACAUUAUAACUUUCCCAUAACACUAAAAGGUACUUCCAAUUAUUACUUCCAAUUAUUAGGAUAUUUUUAUCAGGUGAGAUGACAUUUAUGUCUUUAUUGUAACUUAUACUUGCUUUUAAGUUAUUUACUUUAGUCAUUUUACCCAUGCGGUAAAACAUCAUUUUUCCAACAUUUCACUAUCUCGGCGAGUUUCUCUGAUAUUCACCGGCUUUAACCCUAAAAACGCCCUUCUACUUCUUCUCUGAAAUCCAUUUCGCGUUUGUCUCUUCAAAUCGUUUCUCUCCUAAAGCCUAACUCGGCUUAAUCGCCUGUGUCUUCCAGCACGAGGCUGUCGAAUUCGUGUUUUCUCGGUUUAUUUUGUUUUUCGCUUCCAGUUUCCGCUGUUAUUCGACAUGUCAGGUUUGUUCUCCAUCCAAGUUUAUGUUUUUUUUGUCUGAACUCUGAAUUAUUUCACGAAUUACUGUCUUAUCGGAGUUUUUUUCAAUAUUUUUUGUUUUCCAGACGAGGUUCAUGCUUCUGGGUCCGACAACCGAUUGCCCGAGCGGUUGUUUGCGACGGACCGAUUUCCUAUCAACCGUAUCAACGUCUACUCGAAGCCCGACACACUUACAUUUCUUCAUGAUGUGCUUCGUGAUACACCAGAGUUUGAGACAAUUUUGAACUCGCCGUUCGGCCGUUUAUUUGACAUUCCAGCAGCUAGUGCACCGAUCUCAUGUAAGCUCAUCCACUCUCUCUUAACCAUACAGGUUGUCACUAAAAAACAAUACGAGAUCUGGAUAGUGUUUGGUGGACAACCUUUUCGAUUUUGUUUGCCCGAAUUUGGUCAAGUAACCGGGUUGUCCUGUGGCGAGUUCCCUGACGACUAUGCACCAGACUUUCAGCCACCGAAUGAAGUUGUACCAGAUCCAUACUGGCGAGAGCUAAUCGGCAACGACCCCAAAACAACCUUGGCUGACAUCGGAUAUAUGCUUAGAACGGAUAAGGAUAUGCCAAGUAGCAGGAGACUUCGGUUAGCCUUGCUUAUGAUUGUUGAUGGUGUACUAGUUGCUAACACACAGGUUCACAAACCCACUCCCCGAUAUGUUCGGAUGCUGGAGGACCUCGAUGGAUUUCUCACUUUCCCUUGGGGAAGAGAAUCCUUCCUAAAAACUAUUGCAUGUAUGCGGCCUUCCAGGAAAGUCCCAGGAAAAGUAGAUAACCCUGUAGGAGAAUUCCGGCAAUUGCUUCUCCAAUUCACUUUCCGUAUGCAAGGUUUCCCCCUAGCUUUACAACUUGUUGCAUUCCAAGCCAUCCCAGCGCUACACUUAAAGUUACCCAAAGACUCUGCAUAUUUCACAUUACUGGAUUGGGAUGGUAUUAAACUUCGCAAGAACGACUCUCUCUCCAUCCGCGACGUGCUCGACGUCGAGUUUGGUGACAAUGUAAGUUCUUAUACUACUUGGUUCUGCAAUAAAACAUGAAAAACAUUUUGUUUAGAGAUUACUCAUUCUACUUUUUUAUGUUUUCUUUUUUAUUCAGUUACUGGUGCAUCCACUUAUCGAGGUCCAGGUUCCUGAUGUCAUUGGAUGGGGUGAAUGGGAUGAUGAGAUACGAGACAGGAAAGUUACAUACUUAGAGGACCUAGUCCGUGAAGGUCAUUCAUUUUCCAAGUCGGAAUGGCCUGGUGGAGAUGCUUCGCUGCCUCUGUAGACUCAUGUCCCAAUCCCUGCACAACGCGUACACCGAAGGCACAUUGUAGAUCAGAAGAAAAAUCUAUCUCAACCACACACCCCGUUGAAGCUACGAACAAAGAAAAAAAAAUGAAACAUGUCAGUCGUCGGAAGCAGAAAAUAAUGGACGACUAUCUACUGCCAAAUGAUGCGGAGUCUCAAAACCAGAACGUGUGGUUGCUAUCUGAGGUGAAACAUCUUUGUAAACGUGUCCAAAAAUUAGAAGACAAGCUUAAAUUCUGCAAGUUUACACGAUUUGGUAAACUGUCUUCCCAGCGUCUCACAGCUACCAGACACAAGAGCAAACGUCAGACAAAGACUGACGAUGCAAGACAUCCACCUUCUCCUGUCCAUUACUCUUCUAAUAUUAUCCGACUCACUGAUGACAAUUACACACCUGGAAAUAGUGAAGCCAGCCAAGAAGUAGUAUCACCUGAUCGAGCCAGAGAAGAAGUUCAAUCACCUUUACUUGAUAGAAAUCAUGAUCCAGGUUUUAUCGCCGUAAGUAUUCUACAAUCUAAUCAACACAUUCCCUUUACCAUUAUACUUACUAAAAAAAUCUCGCUUAUAGGAAGCACAGGCGGAGGACUGCCUUACAGAACCACAAGUGGGUACCAAAAAACAAUUACCAGUCCAGGACUGUCUCAUGGAUGACUGCCCAAAAGAACAGCUACUAGAUGAGUCGGUUGAUUUGGUCGCCGGAAAUCAACAGAAUUCAAUUGUUAAUGAAAUGGGUAAACUAGUAACUUCUAUCAAGCAAAAUUCACUUCUUUUCUGGGCACACUUGAUAAAUCUAUAUUUGCUUCCUAUAUUACAAAGGUCAUCCAUCAGGGUAAUCUUCUUCCAAGCUCGGCAAUACCAUUUCUGACUCCAUUCGGCCCUUUCCAAAACAACACUGUAAGAAUCACUUACAACCAGUUAGUAGCACUAAUGUUUUAUCCACAAGACAACAUCCACACGUCCACAUGACUAAUCACGUUUUUAUGCGCUAGUCUCAGCCAGACAUGGAAUUCGCAGAUGGCUGCAUUUCACAUGUGCUCGAGGCACUUAACAACAACGAAGAACUUCACGACAAUGACAAACCAUCAACAAAGGUAAAUUCUACAUAUAAAUAUCCUUUUCAGUGCUUAAGGUCGGCCUUAAUAUUGUCUCAAAUAAACCAAUCAACACACCAACGCCUGAUGAACACUCGAGUUUUCUUCCACAGGAUUCGAAGGACACGGCGCUGACAACCACGAGGGCAACUACAGCACAAUCCAGACAUCUCCCAUUUUUGAAUGGAAACCACACAAAGCCAACGAUGGUCAGGAAAACAUGCAUAUCGACAAAAAUGAGCCCGAAGAACCCAUCUCCUCACUCGCUGAAAACAAUGUCGUCCUGCAAGUGGAUAACAGUGGCCAAGUUCACGAAACUCAGCCCAUUGUAACUCCUUCAGUGUUGCAGGUGUAUCAUGUCCCCGACGUACUCAAACCCCUGGAUAAGUAUAUGCAUGUCGUGACGGAUUCGACGUGCAGUGGACAACUAAUGGUGGACGAAUCAUCAAUACAUAACUCCAAGAUAUCACGUUACCAAAGUGGACACGAGAAAUUGGACAUGAUACCAGAUGGACACGAAGAUGUGGACAUGAUAACUCGAUUGCAACUAGUUAUACCAUGCUCAGACCUGGUAAACUCUCCAAAACAACACGGUUUGCAUCCAUGUGGACAGCCUGAGGCGGACGUCGACUCUGCUGAUACCAUCAGCACCUCAAGAAAACUCACUGUACUCGAUGAAGUAGAUCCGGGAACUAAAAGUGAAGAUGUACACGCAGAAGUGGAAAACGAAGCAGAGGAAAGUGAAGCAAAUUAUAACCAGGUAACUGUGCUUCACCAAAACGUCGCAAACGAUGUUCAUACCAAUUUCUGACACAACCUUCUAAAUUCUGUAAAACGUAGGUUCAGGUGGACGGUGAGGUGCUGGACGUAAGUGAUUCUUCCCCACCCCCACAGAGAGUUCAGUAUUCGCCGUCGUCCGAGGAGCAACGGUUAGCGGUUGCUUUUAGGGAAAAACAGAGCCCACCGUCAACCCUACUGCUCCAACAUGUUGACGAACAAGAGUUCAAGUUCUUUCACGACACCUUGACCUCCUCUAUUCACGUGUACGUGCCUACCUACUUCCCAUAUAUUUAGCUGAACCAUAAAUCACAUUACCCGUGAAGGAGUUCAUUUUAUUCUUGUUGCAGAAAACACACCACUGCUGAUAACUUUACCUUCGACAAUGAGUUUAUUCUACACCUAGCUACCCCUCAGAAAUGGAUCUCAACACUGGUACCUAUACUACUUCCUAUUUCCUUCGGUUAUUACUACAUCCUAUGCUCACUUAUCCGUUUUUUCCUUAACAGCACAUGGAGGUUCUUAUGUCCUUCCUAGGAUCACGUCAUACACACAUUCUACAAGCAGAACAAGCAUGCUUUGCGUCUCCAUGGUUAAUCAAUCAUCUUCAAGGGAAGUAUCGUUCUUGGAAAGCCGCUAGAAACAAGUCAAAAUUUAGAUGGGAUGACCAUCUCGCAGCUUUUGUCAAGGCUGAUGGUCAAACAUGGCUGACCGACGUCGAUACAGUGUACGCACCCAUGGCUGGGACAAUCAGCAUUGGGUUGGACUUGCGAUAAACCUUCGAGGCUGGUUCAUCGAGGUACUUGAUCCACUCCCUUCUCUAAAUCCGAACGUAAAGUGGAGAAAUACCUCCAACCUGUUUUGGAACUACUCCCGCAUAUCAUUCAGACCAUGUGUCCGAACGAAGCCCCCACCGAAUACUUAGGACACCCAUUUCGUUUCACUAGAGCGUCUGGGAUUUAUGAGAACCACAGAGGUGGAGACUGUGGCCCUGUCACACUUAAGUUCCUCGAGCUUCACGCUCAUGGUGAUACCGGUAUGAUAGCUAUGUGCGAUGCAACGGUCGAUCAAUUCAGGAAACAAUACGCCAUGGAUGUCUACAAGUACUUAGUUGUUCCUAUCUACUUCCCCCAACCCUCUCAAUGAACACCAAAUCCCGUAUUAAAAAUGUACCCACAUAUGGAUGGAUGUUUUCCUUAUCUUCGAGUAGCUACUUUUAAGUUUCUUCCACAUUAGACAGUACUUUUGUAAGGGCAUGUUCGCAGUAAGGUUGCUAACUUUUUUUAACGCUUUUGGUUGAUCCUUUAAUGGGUCACCCCGCUACUUCAGUUUUACGCAUCUAAUCCACUUUUUUACAUCCACUAUAUAUGUUGUUUAUGUACACCGGUAAAUCCACGUUCGCAACGUUCUCACGUUUUUGUGAAUUGCUUUAAUAGUUUUCGAUCCCGAAAGCCACAUCCACCAAAUAUGUCCAUACGAUUUCAUCCACCUACCCACUUAUGUUUGUUGCUUUAAUGGUUGACCCACAUACGUCAGUUCUACGCAUCUCAUCCAUUGUUACGUCCACUAUAUUAGUUGUAUAGGCACACCGGACAUUCCACGCUUGCAACGUUCUCAUGUUUUCGUAGAUUCCUUUCAUAGUUUUCAAACCCGAAAUCUUCAUCCCCCAUAUACAUCCAUUUCAUUCCAUCCACGUACCCAUAUCCACUACAUACUAUGAUCAUAUCUCCAAAUUGCUUUACCCUAUCAUAUGCUACUCUACGGUGGAGAAAUUCGAAACAUUUGAAACAUUUGAAACAUUUGACACUACAACUACCUCCAAAACAAACAUCAGAAACACAAUAACCGACUACCAAAUAACAGUUGAAACUACUUCCAUAACUACAACAACCUACUUAGAUUUAUAGAUCACAAACAGCAUCAUCACAAAUGAGACAAUAAUCAACACUUGUACAAGCCCUAUGUCAGGAUCGGCCCUCACAAUCGUAGUCUCACUUCGCGGAAUCUCAAGCUUUAGGACGACUGACUUCAGCUCAUUGUAGUCGUCAUGACACCCACAAAGUUGUUCAUUAAGCUCCUUUAUCAGCACCCUCAGCUCCGCAACAUCAUCACGAAGAACAUCCACAUUUCGCCAAAUUGUGGGUGGAUCAACUAGUUCUCCACUAGCUCCGCUCAACAAGUACUUCAUCCUAUCAUCUUGGUAUCCCAACUUCACCUUCUGCUCUGCCAACUCCUCUGUAACAGCUACAUCCCACCAUUUUUGGUACUUGCAUCCUCCCUCCUAAUCCAUUACAUUCACAUCAACAGUUAUAAAACUGUGUACUUUCCGAUUUAAAUUGCGGGAUUACAGACUACAUACCUCUCUCAUUCCACAUCUGUAAUAACGGCGACCUCUGUUGUCCACCUGAUGAGAUAUGUCUAUCAAGACGGACUUUCCACAGUAACAUUUUUUUGGAAUCCCCUCAUCGUACAAUCCCUCGUAGUAUCCAUAAUCUUCAAGACUACCUCUAGACGAAGAACUGUUGCUGUAGCUGAUCGGCAUUUUCCUGCGAUGGUUAAUCAGGCGUAAAUCAUCUACAUCCCCGAUUUCCAAAGUAUCAAAAAAACAUAGAAAAACCAGCUACAAAAUGGAUAAUCAUUUAGACCCACCUCGUCCCCUCGAAAAUACAACGUUCUCUCACCGCCCCCAAAUACUACAACAGAUAUUUAUACGGAACCUUCAAAGCUCAAACCUAAUUUGAGGGUAUUUUAGUCAUUUACAACACCCACACCCCCUAAUUAACAUCCAGCUGUGAUAAUCCAUGUUAAGUGUGUCCACUCAUAACUGUCCCGUAUAUUGAGUUAAAAACAUUAUUUUUUGCUUCUCGAUCUACACGAUCAACACUUACAACCAAGGACUGUUGCUGUACACACCUCAUCACAAAAAAGGCCAAAAAAACAUGCCUACAAACAUGGUUGUCUUAGAUUAUCUCCAACGAUCCAUUAACACUCACAUACGUACGCAAGGUAUAAUCCACCUACAUAUCGUAUUUGCAAAUGCUUUAUAUAGGAUCACAGGACUUCCAACAAUGAGAUAACUAUCAACAAUGAGAUAAAUUUCAACAAUAAUGAAACAAAUACGAUUAACGACAUUAGAGUAAAAACAGCUUAAUCAAUAGUCUGUCUGAUGACUAGACAACUAAUCCAAUGUCAGCCGAAUUAAAUCGCCCAAAAAAUCCAGGAAAACAUCACCAAAGUAAUCACCGCGGAAAUUUAAAGUAGUAUCCAAAGUUCCAUACACCCUCCACACGCACAAUGAAAAAUUGAUAAGACGUGGUGGAUAACAAAACCAAAACAAUCACAAUCCGGGUAUCGCAGUAAACGUGUCAUGGAUCCAAAACGGAUUGGUCUGAAACUCCAUCUAUAUCGGAUUGGCGCAGCUGCUUCGAUUGUGUCCAGACAUUCUACAGCGUCCACACUUGUUCGGCACAUAUUUUUUCACACCAGUUCCCUGCAGAUGUUACUACCGUUAAUAUUAUUUCCUGUCACUGCAAUAAAGUUACCAACUAAUUAACUUUACCUUUAUCACCCCGGUUGAUGGUAUCCGCAACUCCUUAGGACGGCCUGAAGGCCUUCUUGUUUUCGGUGGGAAUAGAAUAGAACUACUCACUUCCACUGGUAUCUCAACCUCAUUCGGGUCGGCCUCAGGAUUAAUCACACCUUGAUAUGUUUCCCUCCAUGUACUCGUCUUGUAACAAUCACCAACUAAACUCGCAUAAGGAAGACCAACAGAAUCCGCAGCAAUAAGAGCAUGGCCACAAGGAAUUUUAAGCUUCUGAUAAGCCUGACAAGUACAUUUGCGGUCAUUUAAAAUUACAUUGUGCUUUCCUCCGAAACGAUUAAUAAUCUGUACACUCCAGCUAGAAACGCUAUUGAUUUUGCUUUCUUUUGUGACCUCCAUGUACUUAGUCAUAACUUUGUCCACCUCCGGGGUCACAAUCCCGCGAUACCUAGCAGAUUUUUUACGACGAGCAGCAAACCAUCGAGUCAUCAUACUCUGGAUAAAAGUCAAGAGCUCUAUGAUGGGGGAGUUCCUCCCUUCCCUCAAUGCUUUGUUCAGCGUUUCUGCUAUGUUGUUAGUCACCAGGUUAUAACGAUCCCCUGGGAAAUACGCUCGAGACCAAGUAGCUGUACCCAUUUUCUCUAAAUAACUAGCACAAUCACCAUUCAUAGAUCUGACUUUACCGAAGAGCUUCCUGAAAUCAGGAAUUGAAAAUGCAAAAGCAGCAACUCCUACCAUUUUCGACAGUCCUUUAUUCUUAUACCUUGAAGUGACAUUCCUCUGAACAUGAACAAUACAAGCUCCAUGACUUGCCUUAGGAUACACCAACUUUUUCGCCGCCUUUAUAGAAUUGUGUCUAUCCGAAAUGAUUGUCAACCGAUUGCUGUCAGCAAGUAACCUCUCCAAACACCGAAGGAACCAUGUCCAUGAUACAUCAUUCUCACUAUCCACUACAGCAAACGCUAGUGGAAACACUUGGAAGUUAGCAUCCUGUCCACUAGCCGUUAGCAACACACCCUUGUACUUCCCACCCAGAUGAGUUCCAUCCAAGACAAUUAGAUGCCUUAGUCUUCUAAAUCCAGCCAGAGAUGCACCGAACAAGAGAAACACAUACUUAAAUCUCUCAAACCCAUUUUCAUCUGUUUCUGUCUUCAAUUCUGUAACUGUUCCAGGAUUUGCAUAUUUCAACAUGUAUAGAUACUCAGGCAGUUUACUGUAUGACUCGUCGUGUCCACCUCUAACUCCCAAAAGAGCACUCUCUUUCGCCCUAUAGCACUUCAUAUAAGAAGCAUUCACACAGAGAUCUUCGAGCACAAGUCGCUGCAGCUCCCUUGUUUUAGGACCAUUAACUGGGUCACCAAACUUCGAUUUGUAGACGGCAGCGAUAACACGCGCAGAUGCUCUUUUCUUGAACGCCUUUCUGGUCUCGAUAUCGCAACUGUGUUCAAGCUGUGCCUUUCUUAUUUCGUAAUAAGAACUAUCUUUUAUUUCCUUUGCAAGAACUCGCCAGACACAACGGGGGUCGACACAACUUAAAACAAAACGGUUCCUCUUGGUUAAUGUCUGCUUGAACUGAAACAUCUCCUUAAUUGCAUAGACUGCUAGCGCAAUCUGACAAUCCUCUUUCGAAGGAUAAACCUUACCAACUCUGACGCAAUCCUCCCCGUCCACAAGGUCUAAGUCUAAAAUAUCUGCAGUCUCGUACUGGGUGUCAUCGAACAAUGGCGGGAUAUCAAAGUCCUCAUUGUCCACACUCCUGAGAUCACGUGGACUGGGGGUACGAGGAACCGUCCCGUCCAUUCCCAUCCAUCCACUACUUUCAUGCUUUGAGAAUCCACCAGAUGGUGGUGUACCCACAUACACAUCGUGGUCAAAGGCAUCAUUGGUUCUACACCUGUAAACUUCUCCCUCAUGUAAAUUACUCCACUUCUUGUCGGCUGUAUCUACAGGGUCGCACAUAACCUCCACAACAUUGGACCCAGCAAAUUGUUCAUCUAGGAAUGGUUCCCAAAAUUCCUUAUCGAACUCAUGAGACAUACAAUCGAAAUUUACUUCAUCUCCAAUGUCACUUACAUCAUCAUCAUCACUGUUUGAGUUAACUGCACCAUCAGCGUCUACUUGCCCAGUACCCUUGUUUUAACAAUUUCCAUGACCAGCGCUAAAAAAUUCUUCUACCAUCACGGCGUGUUGUACUAGCUCUUCGUCCAUGCUGUUAUCCAUAUCAGAUAUUGGUCCUUCGACAGACCUGUUAAUAGGUUUCUUAGCUUUAAAGCUAUCUUCAUCGCUAACCAAAUCCCUCUUCCUAGACGUCAGUGGAUACUCUUCAAAAGUUUUCCCAGUCUCUACUGUCGUCUUAGGCGUCGAGAAGCAGCAACCUGUACUAUCUUCGGACAUUGAAGACAUUCGCGGGAUGUUAGCCAAAUUUGGAAUCCCAUCCACACUCCCACUGCCAAGAGAAGAAUGGCUACUUGUUUUAAACCCACUCUCCAUGCUCUCAUCAGCUUCAUUUCCCUGGAAAAACCCAAGCUUUUUACCAAAACCAGUUAUUUCACAACCUACUGAUUUACGCAUCCUCGUUGGAACUGGUUCUUUAUACAUUGCAUUACCAUUAUUUGCUAGUGGUGUUUUAAACGUAAAACCACCAAUAUCGACAUCCCCCGGCCCCUUUCUCGUAGGAAAUGGGGUUUUAUACCCAGAAAGGUCACCCGAGGACUCACUGCCUCAGCUUCUCCCUCUAACAGUGUUCUGAACAGCACUGCCACCACCCUCAAACCCGUUUUUACCAAUCGAUACCUCAUCGCCCUCAAACCUCGCGAAUAGGUUUACACUACUCUGAACCUUGAAGUGUUUUAAGAAAUAACCUAUAAAACACUCGUUUGUAACCAUAACCGGGGGAGUAGAUAUUCCAGUUGCUAAUUAUGUGCUAUUAGGAGGCCAGUAGCUUAAUGUUACACCAACAUCGAAAAAAACAUUCAAAACACUUUUUUUAACUCCGAUAUAGUAACGCCUGACCUAAGAGAUACUACUCUAGACAUCUUCAUCUUGUCCACAACGAAAUCCCAAAGUCCCUCUCUUGAACGAAUCCACUCACCACAUAUUACAAGACAAUGUUCUUCCAUGACUACACGAGAGAAGCAAAAAAAAAAGUUUUAGUUGAUGUCCACGGCCUAAACAUCCACCAUUACAACUGAAAAUAGUAAGAAGGCACACCUUUGCAAACUUUUUCCGCCAGCACCGAACGUGUCUGCUGGAAUGGAACAGGUUAACCUAAUAUUACUCGGUUCCCAAAACAGACGGAAUUGACGUUUAUCUGCCACUGCAACCCCAGCCGUUCGAUUAUAAACAUUAAAUGUGAAUCCGACGGUAAGGAUUUGUACAAGGUAGAUUAAAAGCGGGCCCGAAAAAUUUCAACUUCAAGGCGGGAAAUGACCAAACAACUAUACAUCCAAAUAGUCGAUUACAUUUCAUCCAACAACUUACAUAGUACAAACUGCAUCCACCGAACAUUGUCAUCCACCUAACAUUGUCAUCCACCGAACAUUGUUCUCAUUCUUUUCGAUUUUGUGAGACAGUUAACUUAAAUUCACCCAAACCCAUCCACCAUAAUAUGUCCUGCGCAUUUAUCCACUACGAUACAUUUUCAUCGCACACGCUAUGGUGAUGAAAUGCUUCACCAGUGUGUUUAUCAGUAUACGCAUCUGUACGGAUUUUAAAACGAACGACGAUACCAAACCGAAAUCGUUUGCGUACACGUUAAACGCAUCUUACAGGAUCAAACACGUUGAAAUAACUUUCACUCUUAUCAGAUUUUCAUAAAAAAUAGCUCGAUUUCUUGGUCAGAUUUAGUUCAGUCAAGGAAUUCUCGCCAAUAACUGAAAUGUACGCUGACCGGAAAACAUAGAUCUGGCGGUGGUAAAAAAAAAUAGAGAAAACAGUAAAGUUUGUACUAGUUGUAAAAAGUAAGGGCUUCUAUAUCCUUUCACAAAGAGAGAGAUGAGAGAAAGUACCCAAAUAGUUACAAGUACGAGUAAGGAAAGUGAAGAAAGUGCCUUAUAAUAUAAUUCACUCUAAAAUAUGAUACAAGUAUUAAGUCUACGUUUCUUUAGAUUUAGAUUGAAUAUAUACUUAUUGACUACUUUUAGUGGCCUUUGUUUUCUCUAUGUAAUUUAUGUAGUCCCAUUACCCAAAUAUCUAUUAUUUCCCCCUUGUCUUUUUUGUUUCUUAUUACAAUUCCAUACAUAUGUACAUUUUGUUUUGGUCAAAAGUCAAAACAUAUCUAUACAUAUUCAAAAUAUAUGUAUGGAAAGUGUUUAGCUCUAAAAAUAGCUAUUAGCUUUCGUACAUGGGACAUUUUAACGCUUUGAAAGAAAUUCGUAAGUGUUUUUUUUAAUCAAAUAACAACUUUUAUAGAUAUAUGAUAUAACAGCAUUUAGCAAGACAGCAACUAACUAAAGUAUUAAAAUUUUGAAACCGAUUCAUGAUGUAUUAUGUUAGUUUGUCAUUCACUUAACUAUUAUAAAUUUAUAAUUGACAAAACAUUUCUGUCUAGACUGGUAUAUAUGUAUGUUCCAAAAUUACAAUAAUGACUAUGUUCUUCAAAUUAUUUAGAGUGAGCAUCAUUUUAUUUUUGUAAACGGUCAACAAUUAAAAACUUCAAAUUUAUGACAAACAAAUAAACAUUAAAAGUUAUAAACAAUAUUUUGUAUAUUUUCGAGUGAUUUUAUACAUCCGGAAAAAAAUAUAUAGAACCAAAUCAUUUAAUUUUUUAAUGUGCGCAUCUUUAUUUUCUUAUUAUGGAAGUAAGAAAUUUGUUUCUGAUGAUAUUAUUGAAAAAGACUUACACGAAAACUGAAUUAGAUAAUAAAAAAAAAAUCUUAUAUAAUACGGUAAGCUAUGUAUGGUUUCCCGAAUAAAAGCUGAAGAAAGGAAGAGGAAAGAAAUAGAGAAGAAGAAAAAAAAAGACUGACCGUAUUCUCCGUCGAUUUUAGCCGCCCGAAGAAAAUAUCAUCGUCUCUCCUUUCGUUUAAGCAGAAAUUUGCUCUGAUUUCAGUGUGCUUCCAACGAUGGUGAGCUCAACUUUUCCACUUAAUCUUUUAUACUUUGAAAUCCUCGAUCUCGAGUGCGCCUCUCGAUUUGGGGUUGCAACGCGUUUUGGUUCGUAUUUAAAUCUUCGGAUUACGAUUUUUUUGGCUCACUUUUCUGUUUCGAUUAGAUCUGUAGAUGGAUUUGAUUAUUUUCUGGGCUUAGAUCUCUGAGAUUUAGUGUUUCUGUGAUCGUUGUGUGACUGAUCUAGGAUCAAAGCAACGCGAGAACUUAUCUGCUGAGUUUACUGUGUUUAUUUCGAUUGCGAUAGCUAAAAUUUGAAAUCAGAAGAAAUCUAAGACUUAGUGUUUUUUUUUUUUUCAUGUGAGAUUUCAGUGGAUUUUAGGGCUCUUACUUGUUGAACCUUUUUUAAGUGAUAUCUAUCAAUUUCGGUGAUAUUCGGUUGUUCUUAUGCAGUCACUUCUCGUGUCUUGAAAUCGACAUUUCUCAGUUUUCGUGAUCACUCAAACUGAUCUAUAUAGAUCUUUCGUUUUCGAUUGCAUUUCAAUUUUGUUUUGCUUUGUCUUGAACUAGCCGUUUCACUAUUGUUCAUCAGUUUCAUGUAAUCUCUUAGGUUGAUGUAUUAACUAUGCACAAUCCAAUCAUCAUAGAGGUCUGAGAAUAAUAGCUAUGCACAAUCCAAUCAUCAUAGAGGUCUGAGAAUAAUAGCUAUGGCCUUAAAUGAAAUGGGUUUGAUGGACUUUUAGGAUUGUGUUUUGAGUAAGAAGUCUUGAAUAUAUGUUCUGUGAAAAGUUGUUUCAUUUUCAUGUUUUUUGGAUUUAACAGGCUAACGCGGCAUCAGGAAUGGCUGUGCACGAUGACUGCAAGCUAAGAUUUCUGGAACUGAAGGCGAAAAGGACACACCGUUUCAUCGUUUACAAGAUCGAGGAGAAGCAGAAGCAAGUGAUUGUUGAGAAAGUCGGUGAACCAGUCCAAACCUUUGAGGAGUUUGCGGCAAGUCUUCCUGCUGAUGAAUGCCGUUAUGCGAUUUACGAUUUCGACUUUGUCACAGCUGAAAACUGCCAGAAGAGCAAGAUCUUCUUCAUCGCGUGGUAAACUAAUUGCAUAGUCUAUAAACUCUGUGUCUUGUUGUUUCUCAUUACCUUCCAAAGGUUUUAUCUUAUUCAUGUGAUGCAAAUUUCUGUUUUUUUCGCCAAGGUGCCCGGACAUAGCUAAGGUGAGAAGCAAGAUGAUUUACGCGAGCUCCAAGGACAGGUUCAAGAGGGAACUAGAUGGGAUUCAAGUAGAGCUUCAAGCAACUGAUCCAACCGAGAUGGAUCUCGAUGUUUUCAGAAGCCGUGCCAACUAAAAGUAAACACUCAAAGUUUCUCUCUUUGAAUGAUCUUAUUCUCUUAUCCUGUUAUUUUCGGAGUGAUGUUACUUUUUUUUCUAUAAUUUACAUUAUGCUGUGAAGGUUAUGAACCUAAAAACUUCAUUUUUUAUCUGUGUUUGGUCUUUGUGUUCAAUGUUGUCUUUGGUGUUCCAUCUUCGUUGUAGAUUUCACUAUUUUGAGUGGGUUUCUGAGUGUAAAGACUCAAUUCGUCUAAUUGAAGAUGAACCCUUUUGGUAUCAUUUAAUGUUACAUUCAUGCCAUUAAAGGUCGAUCUACAUGAUCACAAGAGUUUAAAUCUGUUAUGGUAUGUCAAACCAGCUCGAUCCGACUUGUUUUGAGUCUUGAAUACUAUUCUAGUCUGUUUUUGAAUUUGAUGAAGUGAAGACACUUAUCGAGCCUGGUAGAGGAAUCAGUCUUGAUUUGAUUUUAAUUUUAGGUUAAUUUUAGGUUUUGGGUUCGAAACUGAUUUAUUUAUGUGAUUAAUCUGUUCAUAAUACAAAGAGAAACAGUACAGUCCAAAGCCGAACUUAGCUUUGACUUAAUGUUAAGAACAAAACAAUAUGUGGACCAAUUCGUCUGGGUCAGAUUGCAUUUACAGAUUUUUAAUCGACCACAAUAUCUUCUUAUGAUUAGAUUUGUCGUUUUGACAAUUGGUUUUGUUGACCACAUCUGAAAAACUUUGUAAGAGAUUUAGCUUGCAAUCUCUAAUCUUAUGAACUUAUUCCACGGAUUUAUCAACUAAUCGAUGACAUUUUCAAUAUUGGUGGGAAAAAAAAAUCGAACGAAUUCAAACAUAUUGUACUGUUUCGAGAUAAAUAAUUUGAUUAGAAUACUCAAUAAAAACUAUAAAGAAAUUAAUUGAUAUUUUUCUGAUCCAUAGUAAGCAAAUGCAAAGAAAACAAAUAAGCAAAAGAAAUAUUUUUCUAUACAAAAAGAAAAAAUAAUAUUCGGAUAGCUUACAAAUAACGCUGAGGAGAAGGAAGAGAGAAGAAACAGUGAAGAAAAAGAAAAAAAAAAGUCAUUAAUAUUCUCCAUCGAUUUUUGCCGACCGAGGAAUAUAUCUUCUUCCGCUUCUUCAUUUCAACAGAAAUUUUCUUUGAAAUCGGUUUGAUUCAGCCAUGGUGAGCUAAAUUUUUUCUCCUAUAUGCUUUGAGUUCUUCGAUUUAAAAGCUUCCUUCUCGAUUUGCUUGCUUGCUUGUCGAUUUGAGUCCAAAUCCGGUUGGUUUUCGUCUCGGAUAGUAUAUUUUGUGAACGCUUCUUGUUCGUUUAGAUCUGGAGAUUAUUUUAUAUAUUCGUCGAUCUUUGAUAUUUUGUGUGUGUGAUCGGAUUUGUUCAUAGAAAUCCGACGAAGAACUCGUAACUUUGCUGUGCUUCUUCGAUAGUUAAAUCUGAAAUCAGGAGGAAUCUGAUUCUUCAGUGUGUUUUUCUUACUCGAAGUUCAUAUAUUGAGUUUAGAGCUAAUUACAAGAGGUUUUGAAUAAUUUCAUCAGUGAUAGUCGAUUUUUCGAUCUAUUUUGAUCAUUCUGGUCUUCCGAAGUAAGACAUUUUUCAAUCCUCAUGAUGAUUCGUAAUUGAAGUCUAAAUUGUUCUAAAUCUUUCAAAUUGUCUGGAAACUAAAAACUAUUUAGCUUCUCUACAAUUUAAUGUUAUCAAUGCAAAUAUUUGUAUUGAAUGAUGUGGAUCUUUUGGUCUAGAAAUGUAUCUUGAAGAGAUUUGCAUCUUCUUACUGUUCUUCUCUGUGUAUUGAUGAUACUUUGAUUAUAACAGGCUAACGCAGCGUCGGGAAUGGCUGUGCACGAUGAUUGCAAGCUAAAAUUCUUGGAACUGAAGGCAAAACGAACAUUCCGUACCAUAGUGUACAAGAUUGAGGACAAGCAAGUGAUUGUAGAGAAACUCGGCGAGCCUGAACAAUCAUACGAUGACUUUGCAGCAAGUCUUCCAGAUAAUGAAUGCCGAUAUUGCAUCUAUGAUUUCGACUUUGUCACUGAGGAGAAUUGCCAGAAGAGCAAGAUUUUCUUCAUCGCAUGGUAAAAAGACAAUUACUAACGUAUAUGUCCUUGGAUUUGUGUUUAUGAGAUGAUCAUCAAGAUUCAAGAAUUUGUGUUUGUGUUUGUGUGGUACAAGGUCUCCUGACACAGCCAAAGUGAGAGACAAGAUGAUUUACGCGAGCUCUAAGGAUAGGUUCAAGCGAGAGCUAGAUGGGAUUCAAGUGGAGCUUCAAGCAACCGAUCCAACCGAGAUGGGUCUUGAUGUUUUCAAGAGCCGCACCAACUAAGCAAAACAAAACCCUUGCAAAGGGCAUUGAAUAAGUUUGUUUUAUGGAGUGAUGAUAUAUGUUUCUGUUAACAGUUUCCUCUUGACGGUUAUGAAACUUUUAACUCCUUUCAUUAUAUUUGGGUAUUAUUGUAUUUGAUGUCUUGAUGACGAUGUGUUUCAUCUAUCAACUAUGAGAUUGUGUACCCUUGUGGUGGUUUGCAAUCUGUGUCAGUUUAUAGUUAUGUUACAAUACGUGAAAAAUCAAAUUGGUGUUAUUGAUAUAUGUUAUGUGGCUUUAAGCCUUUGUCUCCGUAUCCCAUAGUUUUGUAUAAGCCUUUUUUUGGGGUUUUGGGGUACAUAGUUAGAUACCAAGUCUUUUAUUCACGAUCAGUUGCAAAACAUCGUUCAAGCAAUUCUCUCUGAUCUUUUGGGGAAACAUUUAUAAUUGGUAUUGUGGAUCGAAAUAUCAAAAGCAUAAGAGCAUAAGAUUUUGGUGGUUUUCUAUAACUGGAAGAAAGUCAUUUAUGUAAAUUGCAAACGUUAUGCGCACUUUUGUACAACUUCAAAAGAUCUGAGACAAUUCAGUAAAUAAUAAAGUUUCCGGUAAAUUUAUAGAACUGGGGGCAAUUCAGUAUUCCUGAGAAUUUUUGUAAAUUUCAAUUGAUAUGGGUCUUAUAAAAAGUUAUGGGGCUGUUUUACAAAUUUUUAAACUUUCAGGUACUCUGGUAAAUAGAUCAAGUUAUGGAUCAUAAUUUAAUUAAAAGAAUGUACGUAUACUUUUAUAAAUUCGGAAAGAUGUGGAAAAAAUCUAAAAAGUUCAAGAAAGCAUUAAGCGGCCAGUAAUACAAUGCCUAGCUCCUAGGACGUGGUCUAGACGAUUAUAUGGUUUAAAUGUUUAUGAGAUAAAUAAAUAUAUUAUAUAUAUUUUUAUAGAAUGCAAAGUUCAUAAAUAAUAAAAUUUAAAUAUUAUUAAUCUUAAACAUAGAUUCAAAGUUCAAAUACACACAAGAACAAAAAGAAAUCUUAUAAAUGUCAAAUAUAAAACAUUAAAAUAUAGCAUAUAUUUGAAUUAGAUAAAACAUCUAUUUGAACAUCAGAAAUGUUAUAUAUAUAUAUAAAUAAUAAAAUUUAAAUAUUAUUAAUCUUAAACAUAGAUUCAAAGUUCAAAUACACACAAGAACUAAAAGAAAUCUUAUAAAUGUCAAAUAUAAAACAUUAAAAUAUAGCAUAUAUUUGAAUUAGAUAAAACAUCUAUUUGAACAUCAAAAAUGUUAUAUAUAUAUAUAUAUAUAUAUUAGACAAAAACAUUCACUAUAUUCAUAUUAAAAUAACAAAAAAAAAUCAAAAACGGCACCUAAAAAACAAAUGUUAACUGAUUAACAAUUUUGAUGAACCGCUUAAAAUCAUCUAGAAUCCCUUAAAACCGUCUAGAACCGCCUAGAGCCGCCUAAAACCACUUUAGAACAUGUAAAACCGGUUAGGACCGUUUAGGCGGCCACCUAUACCGUUUUUUAGAAUAUUUUUUUUCGAAAAACUCAGUCAAUAUUCCAUAACUACGAAUUUGUCUAUGUCUAGUUCUUCCAGCAUUAACUCUUUUUAGGUUGUUUGUACUAAUGCACUAAUAAUAAUACAAAAUAAAAAUAAAUAAAAUAAUGCAUUUUAGGGUGUUUCUGCAUUGGAAAUAUAACAAAUAAAUAUUAAAACCACAUUGAAAAAUGUAAAUCUUAUAAAAUGUGUAUUGUUAAAUAACAAAAUGUGAUUGAAAUGUUUAUGGUAACUUUGAAUUUCACGAAAUAUUGAAAUAACUGUUACAUAGAUAUUGCAGAUUGCAGAAGAUAUCGCUAAUCAUCUCAUCCACAUGAAUCUCAAAGAUACAAUGCAUGAAAUUGGAAGGAAAAAAAACUCAUAUAUUGCAUAAAAGACUAUAAAUUGUUAUUGACAACAUUGUAACUAUAUAUCAUUAAACUCUGUCAGUUUAGAAACAAAGUGUUGACAUAACAUAAAUGCAUCCAUGAGAUUAUUUGUAGAGGUGUCAAAUUGGGCUCUGACCCAUGGGUUCGGACCAAGUAGAAUCGUAGUAGUGCGGAUUUGGGCUCCAUAAAAUUUUUUCAUAUAAAAAGCGGGUUUUGCGGUCCAAACUCGCAUAGAAGUUGGACUUUUACGGAUAGGGUCAGAGCGGAUCCGCGGAUUUGCGGGCUAAUCCGCAGAAUUUGAUGUUUUCUUGUAAAACUCGAAAAGUGAAGUAUUUUGUCAUCUUUGAUUGGUGGAUUUAAAGUAGUAGUUUCAUGGAGUGAAUCAAAGCCUAGUGGAGUCACACAAUUCAGCUAUUAGGCUUUGUGAUAGCUUCAUUUCAAUGAGAUCAAGCAAACAUCAAACUAGUAUGUGUUUUAUAUUCGAUUCGAUUCAGAUUCUCUGAUUGGAUUUUUAAAUUUGGGAAAAAAUCUGGUCAUUGUCUUCCCAACUAAAAUCUAGUAUUUUUUUAGAGUUUUAAUUUCAGUUUAAUGUCAUAAGUUUGAUUUUUUGUUGGUUUUGCUCAUCGACUAUAUCACAGACGUGAUUUUUAUUUUGUCCGCAUCGAUGCAAAUGUAAUUUAGAAUCGCUUAAAUCUUGAAUUGACAAUAAAUAGUUUUGCUUGAGAAUCACAUUUGUUUGAACGCUGGACUAACAAAUAAGCUUUGUUCAUCUGUUUUUUUUUUUUUAUUUUAUAUGUGAAUGUCUUGUUGCUUGCAUCUUGAUGGUUAUCUAGCUUAAAUUACCAGUUUUGAUGUGUAUCAUUAUUUGUAAUUCAUUUAUUUUCUUUUCAAAACUAAGUGUUUAUUCUUAUCGUUAAAUUGAUUUUUCAAAUCUUAUGGCAUCCUAGAGCUAGGAGUUUUGUAUAGGAGGUUUAUUGAAUUCAUUUGUUUGUUCAUCGAAUUUACUUAGACAAAGAAUUUUCUUUAGUUUUGUUUCUUAUGCAUAUUGUGAUUCAGUUACGAGCAAAACUUUAUUCUCCUCUUGCAGAUUUUCUGGUUAUAUAAGUCUAAAUGUCAUAAGAACUUUAAGAUGAAGAAGAAAGUAUGAACCCACGGGUCAGCCCGCAAAACUGUAGAGUACAGGUGGGUCGGGCUUGGAUGCAUCAAUUUGGGACCGCAGUUUAUGAUGGGCCAGCCCGCCAAACCCGAAAAAAAAAAUCCGCAUCAGGCCGACUUGGACGCGGGUUGGCCCGUUUGACAUCUAUAAUUAUUUGUAUCAGAUGAUAAUUGUGACAGGUUACCUUUAUUUUUAUAUAUAGAAUAUUACCUCCUUUUGUAUGUAUAAAACCAUUUCAAUUGUUCACUUGAUCAAUAAAAUAUUUGAAUAUUUGAAUAUAAAUAAACAAUCUUACGUAAAUAGAUAUUUGAAAAGAGAGAAUAUAUGUGUGGCAAAACUCGAUAAAUAUGUAUUUUUGCAUUGAGGGUGUUUUUGCAUUGAAAAUUUGACAAAUAAAGAUUAGAUUCACAUGAAAGAGAGUAAAAAUUACAAAAUGUGUAUAGUUAUAAUAAAAUUGUCAUUUGAAAUUUUUAUGACAUAUAUACUUCAGAAAGUAUAUAUUGAAAUGAUUAUUAUUGUAGAAGAGAUCACUAAUCAGCUCAUCCACAUGAAUCUCUCUAAGAAAUACAAUGCAUGAAAUCAAAAUGAAAAGAAAUCUCAGAUAUUGCAUAAAUGACUACGAAUUUUUAUUGAAAAUAUUAUAACUAGAUAUCAUUGAAAUCUAUCAAUAUAUAAACAAAGAGUUGACAUAAAAUAAAUGCAUCCAUGAAAAGUUUUGUUUACUAUAAUUAUGACAUGUGAAGUUAUUGGUUUGUUAGUGUUAUUUUUUUUUUCCUUUCUUGUACGUAUUUUAUAUGUGGUUUUGAGUUUACUAUUUUCUAAUGUUUGUUUUUUUUUUUAGUGUUGAGUUUAAUGUUUGUAUGAAUUUUUUGAGAUUUUUUGUGUGCUAAUGUUUUUGACAUUUAGCGACAGACCAAAAGAUUUCACCGGACCCUUAUUGAAUAUAAGAAUAUUGUGUUGUCUUAUUUCAUAUGAUGAGAAUUACAAAGGUAUAUAUAGGAGAGCUACAGAAUCAUAUAAUAAAUGAGAGAAUCAUAGAGAAUAAUUGUAUAGAGUAAUUAUAGGGAUCUUGAUAGAUAUUAUCCUUAAUAUGACCCCUCAAGCUCAAGGCGGAGAUGAAGUGAAGACGGAAACAUUGGCUUGAGAUUGAAUCUUUGAUAAACUUGAUAGGAAGAAAGAAGAAACAUCGCGCUUGAACCAUGCGGUAGACGGAUUUACCGUGACUGAUGGGAACACCUCAACGAACGUGUAUGUGGAGGUUGAAGGAAGCAUAUAGCUUAGGAGAAGUCAUUAUGGACUUAAACAAGUGAUCAACUUAGAUCUUGGACGACAUUGGUCGUGUGGAAACCUAUAGCUUGAUGAAGCCGUAAACGACUUGACCGAAUAUCAUAUUAGGAUGGGCGGCAUACGGUGGAAAGAUUUGUAGAGUUUUUUUUUUUUUGUAAAUGAGAUGAAAGAAAACGAAAACAAAAAUUCAAAAAUAAAGAAUGGAAAAAGUGCUAUGAAAAAAAAAGGAGCACAAAGCUCUAUAAGAAAGUGAAGAAAAACGUGUUUUGAGUUAAACAAUAUAUAGAUUGAGUUUGAUCGGUGGAUCAAAACUCACACAAAUAACCUGCUCUGAUACCAUAUUGAAUAUAAGAAUAUUGUGUUGUCUUAUUUCAUAUGAUGAGAAUUACAAAGGUAUAUAUAGGAGAGCUACAGAAUCAUAUAAUAAAUGAGAGAAUCAUAGAGAAUAAUUGUAUAGAGUAAUUAUAGGGAUCUUGAUAGAUAUUAUCCUUAAUAACCCUCCAUUUCUUCUAGACUACUUAUUCGCCUCUACAAGCUACAACUUGCGCAGCUUAAAGACCUGUGCAAAGGAGAUAAAUUCAUUUGAUUUAUAAUGACAAAAAGAUAUGAUAUUGUACAACUCAAUUACAAUAAGAUGGAGUGUUGGGAUUUGUUUGGCUCUCUAAUGUGAAGAAAUCUCUCCAAGGAGGCAAGGAUAAGAUUCAAUGCUUCAAAUUUGAACACUUGUCUUUGAAGUGGAGUAAUAAUAUCUCAUUACUUGUCUCCAAAAUGGAGCAAUAUUCAAAGAAUCAGUCCAUAUUAUGGAAACUGAGACACUACGAUUUCUUAAUAUACUUCAAAUAGAGAAUUAUUUCUACAAAUACCAACUCAAUAUCACUAACAAAAUAUCACUAAGCCACCACAUAUGAUUUUAUAACCUUAGAGCAAACAUUUAUAUCCGCUUAAGAUUUUUUGACAUAACUACUAAAAAUAUUCUUGUGACCAAAGCUUACCUUUCUAGGAGUUUUGAUCAAAUCUCUUUAUCAUCGCCUCAUCAGAUCUAACAGAAAAAAUAACAAGAAUUGUAACAUUGCAUUCCUAUUGUUCAUCAGAGGUUUUCCUGUCAUUUAAAAAGGUCAACUCUUACUAGCACCAGUUUCCUUAGGGAGAGCAAAGCCUAAGAUGAAUGGCAUAAGUGUUUAACUAAUAAGCUGGCUGUAAGAAGAUCUCCCAUCAUUUAUCUGGAUUCUCUGCCAAUCAUAGAGUCUGUUGCAGCUCUAGAACUUAUGUUGUGACUAUAAACAUGAGAAAAUAGAGGGUUACUUCACCUGACUUGUCAUUUUUUCUUAGAUAUCAAACGUCUCUUGAACUUUUGUUCUUAUGAACCCUCAAAUUGAUGAUAAUAUAAACUGUCACAAAUCAACAAAAGUUAAUAAGAAAUUUACCUCUUGUGCAUGCAUGAAAGCAUAAAAUGUUUAAUUGUUGAGAAACAACCAAAAAUAGAUGAUUGAAAAGUAAGAGACAUGAGAAAACUUGAUUACAAUGUGUAGAUGUUAGAUUUAUGCGUUGGUUUUUGUUUUUUUUUUUGGUUUGGUGUUUUGAUCUAUUUGUGUUUGAAUUCAUGGUAUGUGCAUUUUUUUUUUGUGUUCAAUUUGCAUUUGAGUGUUUUGUGUGUGAGAGCAUGUGUUAAGUUGUUUUUAGAAUUGCAAUUAAAUGUUUGUGUUAUGUUCUCCAUUGUGUAUAAAUGUGUUUGAUUAACCUUAGUUUCAGUGUCUAUUAUGUUGUGUGAGAAGUGGGAGUGCAACACAUUUUUUUCCAAAACUCCCAAUCAAUAGUAAACAAGAACCAUUUAGAACAAAUGGUAACGAUGCAAACUUUGAAGGAAAAAAAAAUGUUUCGUCAAAGAUAAACUCAAUUAGGUGCACAUCCAUGGAUAAUGAACAAGGAGAAUUCUGCUGAAAAUCAAAAGAGUUUUUGAAUAUAUCAUGUCGUGUUAAAAACUAAGAUUUUUGGAUUGAAAUGUGUGAGACAACCUCUCACCAAAAGCGUUAUAGUUCUCAACCAAGUUCCUGAGCUAACAAACUGAUGCAAAUUUGAAAAUUAAACCAAUGCCUUUACCAAGCAUAUAGAACCUGACACAGAAUACCGUUGAUAACACCAUAUUUUGACCAAUUUUAUGGAUCAUUUUGAGAUACUUUUUCUAUGUUAUUUAUUGCUUUCAAAUGUUUUUAUUAAGUUUUCUAGUACUUGUAGUUUCAAGACUCUUUUUAGAAAACUUAGAAAAAAACUUAACACAAUGGAUAGAAGACCAGAUUUUAGCUCAGAGUCCGUCGGAAAUCCACCCUCAGAUGAAAACCUUCUCAACGUCCGAUCCAGCUCAAGUUUGGAGAUCUUAAAGAUGGAACUACCAGCUUUCCAGAACACUUUAGAGAAUGGCAAUCCAACGGUUCAAUCAAAAGUUACGCGAAGAGUAAAAUGUCCCAUAAACCAACCAGCAAGCAUUCUUACCCGCGGCCAACACCCAAUUCGCACCGGUCCCGUCCUUUCCGACCGCGGAGAUUGGUCUGUCCGGCCUAGAAGCCCAUUUUCAAGCUCAAAAUAAUUCUCUUAAUUGGAGAAACCCUAAGUGACGCCCAAAAAUGACUUCAACACUAUAAAUACAUGUUUUUAGGAGCCAUAGACGAGAGAGACACAUGUGCGACUUCUCUUUUACAGCUUUUAAGUUUUUGUCUAUCAUUUUAUUAGUUUUAGGUUUAGAGAGAUAAAGAUCAAUCUCCUGAAUCCUUUUUGUUUCGUUACUUUAUCGAUUUCUAUUCAGCUUUUCAAUACAAUGUUUUUGCUUUCUUUAAUCAUGUCUGAGUAAUUUUAUUGUUGGGUUUAAAGGAUUUUUGAUGGGGGCUAUAUAUGUUCGAUGAGGAUUCCAUUAGCUAUUGAAGCCGAAUCCUAGAAAUUUUUCUUCUAAACUUAUUUUUAAUGCAUGAGAAUAGCGUCAUGAACUACAAUCUGAUCUCGGUCUUUGGUGUUGCAAAAGUAUUCAUCCGGGGCCAGAUCUAGUUUGAGAAGAGCAGAUCAACCAUAGGAGUGAAAAUCUACCUAUGGGCGAACUGUGAAUGUUGACGAGUCUUAAGCAAGCUUGCAUCUUUUCCCUUCCAAGGCCAGAGUGGAAACCUACUGGUAAGGGUUGCGAGAGAUAGUUGGUUAUGAUCACGACAGUGGCGUAUUCAUACGUUUGUGACUUUAGUUCUAAAAGUUUUAGCUAGGAUCUUUUAAACUACUUUUUAACAAUGUUUUGAAUCGUUCAUCCCCGGAGAGAAUUUCUUUGAAAACCCAGUGUCUCGUCUUUAUAAGUUUUCGCCGAUUUUCAUACAAGUUUUAGUCAUUAGGUCAUUUUCUUUAUUCCAGCCGAUUUUCAUACAAGCUAUUUAGGUUUAGUCGUUUUUCAUCGUUUUUAGUCGAUUUUAUUAGCUUUAGUUAUUAGGUCAUUUUGAUUUCAGUAUUUUCCCGUUAAUGUUAGUUUUUACGUUUUAAAGACACCACCAAAAUCCCUUAAAAUAUUUCCUGGUUCUAGACUUCCUUACUUUAUAUUUCUUUCGAAGGCUUUUGUAGAAAAGAACCUCAUUCCCUGUGGAUUCGAUCCCUAAGUACUACAAUCGAUCAGCUGUGCACUUGCGGCUUAUUGAUUUCAUUAGGGUAAAACUUGACACCCUCAUCACGCACGCAAUCAAGUUCUUGGCACCGUUGCUGGGGAUGUCACGCGUUUCUUUUUCCGGAAAACCCUAAGAAAAGUUGGUAAAUCGACUCUAGAACCCGUUUUCUAUUUAUUUUCGUUUUUGGUUCUUUUUGUUUCAGUUCCUAAAGCAAUGGACCCUAUAAAUCGAAAUCGCUACUACGAUGGAGGUUUUUACAACACUCUUCAAGCCACCAGACACAGAGAAGAGCAAUACAUACGCGACCUCUUCAACUCUGUUUGGAACUCUGAUCCGAACCACCGAGCAUUCCUGGAUGAACCCUACACGCCUCCUAUGGUAAACCCUAAUCUACCUUGUCAUCGCCUACCUCACCAAAUCCUCCAGCAGGAUGAUAACGUCUAGAUCAGUAAAAGAUUGGAGCAGCUUGUAGCCACGAUCAAGCAGUUCACUGAAGCUCAAGCCGUCUAAGGCCGCCCUUCAUGAGAGGAUUGAUAGUAUGUCCAUAUACUUCAAUAAAAAGUUUGAAGAUCUCUCAGCUCAAAUCAAGUCUAUCGAAACUCAGGCAAACAAAGAUGCUGCGUUUAUCUAUAAAAGGAUAGACGAAGUUGAAGAGCAAGUUGGAGAGAAUGAAGUCAACAUUCGUAACGCUAACGGCAGCAUUCACACCCUUGAGAUCAAACAUGAAGAAGAAGAAGAAACUAUCAAUGAUCAUAACAACCAUUCUUACUCCUACGUGGAAGAACUAUGGGAUGGAGUACACAAGGUUCGAGACAAGGCAGAUGAGAUAGACUCCACCGUAGACAAAGUAGUCUAUGCUCUCGAUGAAAUCAAAGAAAAAGUUGAGAAGAUUAUGCAAGGGUAUGGAGUGCAUGACUCAACACUUUUCAACAAUGAUCUUGACCAAAAAGAAGGGCAUACAGAACCACAAGUCCCAAAAACCCACUUAGAAGGCAAAGGAUAAGGUGAAACAAUAGAACCACCUCAGAGCCUCUUGUCCACGGUUGCACCUCCCGCGACCGCGGCCAACAGCAUUUUAGCUGCGGUCGUGCAACUUCCACCGGCGGCCAUUAGCCAUUCCACCGCGGUUGAGCCUCCUCCACCUGCGGUCAACCAUCGGUCAGAUUCAUCUAAGCCUUCCUCUACUCUUGCAGGCUGAUAACACCGUAUUUUGACCACUUUUAUGGAUCAUUUACUUUUUCUAUGUUUUUAAUUGCUUUUAAGUACUUUUAUUACGCUUUUCUAGUAUUUGUAGUUCCAAGACUCUUUUCAGGUAACUUAGGGAAAAGCUUAACAAAAUGGAUAGAAAACCAGAUUUCAGCUCAGAGUCAAACCGUCAGAAGUUCACCCGCGAUUGAAGGCCUUCUCACCGUCUGAUCCAGCUCAAAUUGGGAGAUCUUAAAGAUGGAAGUAUCAGCUUUCCAGCACACUUUACAGCUUGGCAAUCCAACGGUUCAAUCAAAAGAUACGCGAAGAGCAAGAUGUCCCGUAAACCAGCGGGCAAGCGUUUCCACCCGCGGCCAACAGGCCAUUUCCCGCGGUCACAAGCAUCCCGACCGCGGCCACCCACCCAUCUAACUCCGACUUUGAAGGCCCAUUUGUGAAGCCCAUAUCAUUUUCCCAGCCUCAAUUCCGGAACCCUAGACACCAGAGAGUAUUGGAGACUAUAAAUACAUGUCAUUUAGGUCGUUUUUAAGGAGAGAAGAAGAGAGACGAAAUACUUUACAGAAAUUUUAAUUUAAGCUUUGUUUUUAGGUUUUAGGGAGAGAGAGAUCUGUCUCUUGAACCAUUGUUCUUUCUUUUUCAAUUUCGGUUUCUAUUCUACCUUUUAAUACUAUGUUUUUGAUUUCGUUUAUCAUGUCUGAGUAGUUUUAUUGUUGGGUCUAAGGGAUUUUCGAUGGGGAUAUAUGUGUUCGAUGAGGAUUCCAUGAGCUAUUAAGCCGAAUCUUAGAACUUUUUCUUCUGAAUUCGUUUUUACUGCAUGAGAGUAGCGUCAUGUUCUACAAUCUGAUCCAGAUGCUUGGUGACACGAAAGUGUUCAUCCGGUGUCAGAUCUAGUUUGGGAGAUCAAAACAAACAUAGGAGUGGAAACCUACCUAUAGGCGAUUUGUGAAUGCUGACGAGUCUUAAACAUAAUGCACCUCUUCUUUUCCAGGGCCAGAGUGGAAACUUACUGGUCAAUGUUAAGAGAGAUAGUUGUCUAUGAUCACGACAGUGGCGUAUUCAUACGUCCAUGACUCCAGUUCGAAAAGUUUAAGCUAAGAUUUUAUCAAAUUUACUCUCUAGCAAUGUUUUGAAUCGUUCAUACCCCUGAGAAAACUUCCCUGAACCUCAGCGCUUUCUUUCUUAUAGAUUUACACCGAUUUUCAUUCAAGCUUUAGUCUAGUUUAUUUACUCUUUCAAUCGAUUUUCACUUAUCAAUUAGGUUAGCCGUGUUUCUCGUUUUUACCUGUUUUCGUUAAGUUUAGUUAUUAGGUCAAUUUAAUUACCGUAUUUUCUCUUUAGGAUUCGUUUUUACGUUUUAAACACACCACCAAAACCCUCACAAAACUCGCCUGGUUCUAGACUUCCUUACUUUAUAUUUCUUUCGAAGGCUUUUGAAGGAAAGAUCCUCCUUCCAUGUGGAUUCAAACCCUAAGUACUACAAUCGAUCAGCUGUGCACUUGCGGCUAUUGAUUUCAUUUAGGGUAAAACCUGACACCCUCAACACGACAGCACAUGACAGGCCAGUGUUCAUUUAAUGCAUCUGCUGGGAUGGUCAGAACCCCUUUCCUCGAGCGAACAGUGUACGCAAUUAACUCCAAGGCGUCUCAAGAAGAAGAUAAGGUACUACAAUGCAACAUAGCUUUAGCUUAUGAAGAUGAAUAUGAAGGACAAUACCUUGAAGACGAAGACUAUCGUUUUUUCAUAGAAGGGGACAAUCCAGACAGAUUGGUGGAACAAGGCUCACCAUUCUUUAGAGAAAUACUCAUCGAGUUUAACAAAUUUGUGAAGACAAUCCCUCUCUAUACAUGUUUCGAUGAUGUGUGGGAACUUGGCUGUUUGCAAGUUUUCUUUAGGUACAUCAAGGAGACAAAUGAGGAUAUUCAAACUUACUUUGGGAGAGCCAGAUGCCUAUCCUUUCCCAGGACAUCACCUGAUGCUGUAGUUUACUCAAUCCACCUUCAAAGACCUGAAGAAUGCAGCUACUACACCAACAAAAUCAGCAAAGAAAAGUUUGAUGAAUUCAAUGAUGUAGUUCAAAGUUUGCCAGAAGGAAUCACCUUCGCCAGAGCUUGCAAGUACUUCAUGAUCGGCCACCCACUACUUCUGUGAGAGCAAAGAAUCCAUUCAUGAAAUCGAAGACUUGUUCAAUCAUGCCAGAAGAGGUAGACCUGUUCGAACACUUCACAAAAUCGAAGGUCAAGGUCAGUUUCUCAUCUCUUGUUCGAUUAGAGGUGAAAUAUUUAACAAUGUGUUUUGUGAUUUUGGAGCUUGUUUUAACAUAAUGUCCAAGGCAAUUGCUUUGUGACUGGAUAUUAAGCACUUGCGCAGGAUUAGGACAAAGAUAGGUCUAGCUGAUGAUUCCAGUGCAACACGUAAAGGAGUAGCUUAUGACAUUCCUUUAAAGAUAGGAGACUGCAUUGUUCCUGUCGACUUCUACAUUGUCAAGACAAAGGACGUGUCGACUUCUACAUUGUCAAGACAAAUGACGCAACACAUCCAGUGAUUCUAGGAUGGUAUUUUCUAGCAACUUCCAGAGCCAUCAUGGAUUGGCCAAACCGGAGGAUUUCAUUCGCUAAUAUCGACAAGGAUGUCUUCACGGAAGCUGUCCCAUACAACAGCAAUGCAGGAAAACAUCCUGUAGCAGAGGUGUUUGAAGCAGAACUUUGGAGUGACGAAGAACCUGCUAAGCAGAACAAGAAGAUUUUGAAAAAAACUUGUCUUAGGACAAGGUCUUCUUCAUCUGACUACGUCGAGUCUUAACCAAGUCGAGCUAAAAGACUUAAACCAGAAUCGCUUUAUGGGAGGCAACCCAUUUAGAUAUUGUUUUCUUUAGACUUUUUCUUUAUUUUUCUAUUGAUCUUUUUUUUCUUAGUUUCAGGUGUUUCUUAUAAAUAAAAAUAACCAAAAAAAAUAAAAAAAAACUUUAAAAACCCAAAAAGAAUGAUGGUUCCGAACAGUUCGGCCCAGCAUGAACCAAGGAGAAGCAGGAAACAUGCCGCAUUUAAAUCCCGCGGUUGCAUACCUUUGGACUGCAGGAAGGAAAACAUCGACCGCGGCCCCAAACUCCUAACCACGGCCAGCCAUAGCUUCCCCGCGAUCGCGUGAGCCUGGACCGCGGAAAAUGGUCGUUCACUCGACCCCCGACCCCAAACCACCCACUUCACCUCAAUCCACCUCACCAAGUAACAUUCCACCCUAUCCAUCACUUCCCAUCACCUUCCAUCACCAUUUAUCACCUUCCUGCAUCCUCCCAAAUCGAUCCGGUUCAUUCCCGUCAGCAUCUCAGAUCCAGGUAAGUUCCCUUCGGCUUAUCUAUUUUGAUAUAUUUAUGCAUUUUUCUCAUCCAAUCUCGACUUAUUUCACAGUGAGGACAGUGUGAUUUAAGUCUGGGGGAGGAUUUCAUCCCUUUCAAACCACUUUUUUUUCAUGAGUCUUGCAUUAUCACACUUUUUGCAUUUUCUUUAAAGUUUUUCAAAAACGGUUUUCAAAACAAAAUACAUUUUAAAGGGAAUGGUAAACAUGAAUUAAUGAUAGUUGACUGUGUGCUUUUAAACUGUUCCUAGUGACAUACUCAUUCAUGAUUUAGGACUAGACUAGGCGGUAGCUAAGCACAUUUGAAACGAAGUACCCCUGAGGAAUUUGAAUGAUUUCGAUUUAGAUGAAGUAAUAUAUUAGCUCUGUUUUAUAUGGACUUAACAUUGACUUAAUUUUCUCAUUGAAGCAUUCGACCAGGGAAACAAAAUCAUACAUUCAUGACUCCUGAAUGGCUAGUUCAUCUUUAGCUAGUUCCCCACCUUAACCCAACCUCUUUCAAACCACAUGCAUUCUUGUUUUCCAUUGUCCUAUAUGCAUAUAUGUGCAAAAACGUCGGAGAGAAAGAGGAACUUUGCAGUUUUCAGUCACCAAAGAUGGAGGCCUGCGAUUUUUCCGGAAACUUUACCGGAAGGAUUCAACACGUGGAGAAAACACAGUUUGCCUUGGAAAAACUUCAAAAUCUUGGUAGAAUCUCGUCCUUUAGACACUCUCUCUAAAAAUGCAUUUCCCCUUUCAUCAAAAAAAAAAAAACCAAAAAUAAGAAAUGAAUGGAAAUAAGAGCUUUAGAGAGUCUAAAAGGAUCGAAUUUUAUCCUUGAGGCAAGCUAGAGUCUGAUUAUAUGGAGUUUUGGAGAUCAUCUUUCUGAUUCCCAGAAAAGAUAUAAGUCUUGGGGAAGUAGCUGUUCACAACAAAGGAGGAAGAAUUAUGCAACAACAUUUGGCAAGAAGAAGUGAUUAAAAACUAUGCAUCAACAAGUCCACUCUCUCUUGCAGUUUUGCAUAAUAUCUUGCACCCUCCAGAUUCAUCAGGUAACCCGAAACAUUUUAACUCCACCACUUAAACAACCUUUAAAUGCCAAAUGCCGUCUACCCUGGAUAAUAUCUGAUGAGAAUUCACUAUUGCUCUUGAUGAAUGUAGAGAGCUAGUUGACUGGAAUCGAGAUUUAGAUUGUUUUAGUUUUGCAUGACAGAAAAAGUGGACUAGUAUCUUUUGUGUCUUGAUGAGAAUUUUCUAGACUAAGUUGUGGACUGAUGUACGAUCUAUGGUCCUAGUUUAGGAGUUCAUGUCUCUGAGAUUUGUGCAUUUCCUUUUUUUUCACUUCACAGAUUGGAUCUCUGCUUUGUUUGAGGACAAACAAAUGUUUAAGUCUGGGGGAGUUGAUAACACCGUAUUUUGACCAAUUUUAUGGAUCGUUUUGAGAUAGUUUUUCUAUGUUUUUUAUUGCUUUCAAAUGCUUUUAUUAUGUUUUUCUAGUACUUGUAGUUUCAAGACUCUUUUUGGGAAAUUUAGGAAAAAGCUUAACAAAAUGGAUAGAAGACUAGAUUUCAGCUUAGAGUUAAACCGUCAGAAUUUCACCAUCAAAUGAAGACCUUCUCACCGUAUGAUCUAGCUCAAGUUUGGAGAUCUUAAAGAUGGAACUACCGGCUUUACAGAACACUUUACAGAAUGGCAUUCAACGGUUCAAUCAAAACUUAUGCGAAGAGCAAAAUGUCCCGUAAACCAACCGGAAAGCAUUUCUACCCGCGGCCAACACCCAAUUCGCACCGGUCGCAUCCUUUCCGACCGUGGAGAUUAGUCUGUCUGGUCUAGAAGCCCAUUUUCAAACCCAAAAUGAUUCUCUAAUUUGGAGAAACCCUAAGUGACGCCCAUAAAUGACUUGAACACUAUAAAUACAUGUUUUUAGUAACCCUAGACAAGAGAGACACGUAGGCGACUUCUCUUUUACAGAAUUUAAGAUUUUGUCUUUAAUUUUAUAGUUUUAGGUUUAGGGAAAUAGAGAUCUAUCUCUUGAACCUUUUUGUUUAUUUACUUUAUCAAUUUCUAUUCAGCUUUUCAAUACAAUGUUUUUGCUUUCUUUAAUCAUGUCUGAGUAUAGUUUUAUUGUUAGGUUUAAGGGAUUUUCGAUGGGGCUAUAUAUGUUCGACGAGGAUUCCAUUAGCUAUUGAAGCCGAAUCCUAGAGAUUUUUCUUCUAAACUUAUUUUUAAUGCAUGAGAGUAGCGUCAUGAACUACAAUUUGAUCUCGGUCCUUGGUGUUGCGAAAGUAUUCAUCUGGGGCCAUAUUUAGUUUGAGAAGAGCAGAUCAACCAUAGGAGUGGAAACCUACCUAUGAGCGAACUGUGAAUGUUGACGAGUUUUAAGCAAGCUUGCAUUUUUUCCCUUCUAGAGCCAGAGUGGAAACCUACUGGUAAGGGUUGCGAGAGAUAGUUGGUUAUGAUCACGACAGUGGCGUAUUCAUAAUUUCGUGACUCGAGUUCUAAAAUUUUUAGUUAGGAUCUUUUAAACUACUUUUUAGCAAUGUUUUGAAUCGUUCAUCCCCAAAGAGAAUUUCUCUGAAAACCCAGUGUCGUCUUUAUAAGUUUUCGCUGAUUUUCAUAUAAGCUUUAGUCAUUCGGUCAUUUUCUUUAUUCCAGCCAAUUUUCAUACAAGCUAUUUAGGUAUAGUCGUUUUCAUCGUUUUUUGUUGAUUUUAUUAGGUUUAAUUAUUAGGUCAUUUUGAUUUCCGUAUUUUCUUGUUAUGAUUAGUUUUUACGUUUUAAGACACUACCAAAACCCCUUAAAAUAUCACCUGGUUCUAGACUUCCUUACUUUAUAUUUUUUUCAAAGGUUUUUACAGAAAAGAACCUCCUUCCUUGUGGAUUCGAUUCCUAAGUACUAUAAUCGAUCAGCUGUGCACUUGCAGCUUAUUAAUUUCAUUAGGGUAAAACUUGACACCUUCAUCACGCACGCAAUUAACACUCACAAACAAACAAAGGAAAACAAACUUUAAGCUCCAAAUCAACUACAUAUAAUCACUUUUAUGCUAAGCAUAAGACUUUAAUUAAAAAGAAAAAUUUAACAUUCUCAUUGUUAAUUAGGAUUCCCCAUCAACUAUCGAUGCAGCUUUAGCAAACUAACAACAACUUCUAUGGAGAUUGAAUUGCUUCCAAUCCAUUGCAGGUGAAAAACCUACACAUGAAGCUAUAGAUAUAGGGAGACCAUAUGAAGGUUCAGAUAACGCCUAAUGAAAAUGUGAAAACAUUUAAAGAUAUGUCAUUUCAUCUUGAGUUAGAGGAUGAGCGCAUAAAGGCUUUUAAGUUCUUUAACGAGGCCAACUUUGCGAGUUCAAACCUAGGUUUGAAACGCAAAAAAGGUAACAUAGAAAACAAGGCUCUCUAUCAGUCUGAAAUUAAGAGGUCAAAGAAAUAUGCCAAGCGUGGCAAGCAUAGAGGCAAGAAGGAUAAGACUAAAAUAAAGUGCUACAACUGUAUCUCAUUGGUUUACUUUGCUCGUGAAUGAAUCAGGGUGUGCCUCUUUUUCCACCACCGCUAUUACUGAACAGAUUCGUGCAUAAUGAUACAGAGUCUGGCGCCAGUUCAUACAAAAUUAAUAAAAUUAUUGUUCCAAUUUUGUACAAAACCACUAAUAACAAAUUCAUCCCCAAACAAUAAAAAUGAGAGUAAAGACAAAAAUUUUAUUCUAAACACACAAACUUUCUCCAUUUUUUUACAAAUUGCUAACUAAACUUUUUUUUUUGUAACACCACUAACCAAACUUUUAACCAGAUUUCUUUCGAUAAACUAGAUAAUCAAACCACUCAAUCUCUUUUGGUACAUACUCAAAUGAAGAUAAGACUCUAUCAAGUUCGACCAAACUCACUUGAUCGUCUCUAAAUUCAUAAGACUAUAAUACAUAUCUAAAUUUUCAAAUCAUACUUCCUUAAAGUUGACAAAUUAUGCAUUUUUUGUAAUUUAUUCUAAAUCACAAAUAAUGUUAAAUCUAACAUUAGAUGAAAUAAAUUGAUAACAAACAAAAUUAACAAAUAAUAAUUGAUUAUGUAGUUGUUGUGGAAAAAAAAUGCAAGUUUUCAAAACUUCAACGAUGAAGAAGAAAAAAGUCAAAGAGAUGAAUUUAAUAAAUUAAAAGCUUAAUUUGUUUAAUUGAUUAGGAUACCAAAUGAUAGUGUUGUCCUAAUUUAUAUUCUAUUGUUUAAUUAAUAUAUUAAAUUGCUAAUGUAAAUAAAACUCAUAUUUUUCUACUGUAUUAAAAUUAAAAAUUAACAAUUAAUCAAAUAGACUCUUUAAAAAAAAUUAGAAAAUAGACACGUAGGCUAAUGCUUAUUUUCUAUGCCCAUAGCUAGGCACGGCUCUGUUACUGACGCCACCUCCAUUUAUUCCAGUGAAUUAUAUAGUGCCCCUCCUCCUCCACCAACGCCUAUAAACGGUCCUUGGCUGCCACAUCCGCCAAUGAAGAAGGUAGGGGUUUUGUCAUCCCUAGUUAGUGGAGGUUAAAUCUUACUUUUAUUAUGUUUUAUCAAUCUUACUUUUAUUAUGAUCCUUUGUUUCCUAUCAAAACCCAUUCGAUAAAAUUGGAAAAAAAAGGUUUUGGGUUUUGUAUAUGAAAACCUUCACGUUUCAUCUUCUUACACUCUGUUUCAGCAGAGGUUUUAUCUCGUCCUAAUGCAGUCUUCAAAUAGCUCGUAGAAUUAUGCUUAGUUUUCAGAAGAGGACACAACCGUUAUCAAUAAAGAUUUCUGACAGAAUGACAUCCAAACAAAUCUUGAUUCCAAAUGCAUAUAUUCAACCGGUUAAAACUGUGACAUCCCAAACAUUUGUUUUAGCCCAAUUUUUUUUAUUCUUUUUAAAACCUAAACUCUAACCCAAUUUCUUUUUUAACACCUAAUUAAGCCCAAAUCCAUAUUCUAAUUUGUCUCGAAACCAAAAUCUCUAAACCAAACUCUAGUAAAACAAAAAAAAAUGGAGGAAAAGGGAGCAGCCGUAAAAGAGAGAAGAAGAGAAAAGAAGGAAAGAAAGAGGAGAAGAAAAAGAGAAAAGAAAAGGGAGAGAGAAGCUCACCGUUCACCACCACCUCCACCACCAAAAGCUUCACGUCUCUAGAGAAGGAUCCACUGCCACCAGAGCUUCUAAUCUACCACCGCCGCAGCUGUUGGUUGCACAGAGAGGAGGAGAGGCCUGGAGAAGAAGAAAGUUGAAGGAGAAGGCACAGAUCCGAGGUGGGGUUUUAUGAGAAAGAUUCCCGUUGAUACAGAGAGAUUUAAACCAUGAUCGAGGUAUCUCUGGAAAGAUCUCAAUGCAACAAAGCCAUAAUGAAAACGACAUCGAUAUCGGUGUUAAGGUCAGCCCACAACGAAGUUUUCUUCCUGCGCAAGAAUCAUCCGCGCUGCCAUCCUGCAACCCAGAAAUCUGUUUCGACGUAGCAAAGGACCGUAUAUGAUUCGUUUGAAGUCUGAUCGAGCUGAAAUUUUGUGGAGUGCUUCAUGGUGCAUAUGUCUCCAGUUUCAAUGGUGUGAUCGAGCAACGGUUGGUUGUCGAGUUAUGAGCGUGUUUCUGAGGCAGCUUUGAAGUGUUCUUAAGAUGGGUGUUUUCCAGCUGCAACCGUUUUUGACCGUCAUAUUCUCCAAGUGCUAUUCCAGGUUCUUUUAAAUUAAGGUGAUUUAAUAAUGUGUGUAUGCUUAGUGUAGGAAUUAAACAUGAUUGAUAAUUGGUAUUUGUUAAUGUUGAUUGAUAUUGGUUAUUGAUUGGCUAUUGAUGAUAAUUCAUAAUAAGAAGGUAUUGGAAUAUGAUAAUAAUAUUGUAAUUUAUUUGGUUGUUAACUGAAAUAGUAUUUAUUUGGUUACAAUAUUGUUUGACAGCCUAUAACGAGAAACUGAGAUUGUGAAGUUGUAGUGAUCGAUAAAUUGUUUGACGGUCUACAGCGAGAGACUGAAUAUUGCGAAGCUGUAGUGAUCGAGAAAGGGCUGACAAGCUAUUGUCAAACCCUGUUGAGGGCUGUGACACCGGGACUAAAUGUCGAGUCCUGUGAUUUGGCGGAAGCAUUAAUCGUCAAACCCAUUAAUGGACUGUGGCAUAGAUUGAGUACCAAGCGAUUGCGACCCUUAGAAAUGUGAAUUAGAUUCGUUAGGUUGAUUGUUUUAAAUGAUUAUAUGAUUGUAUUUAUUUAGAAUUAUUAGAAUCAUAUAUAUUAUAUAAUAAUAUGAGUUAUUCUAGGUUGAUUGUUGCUUGAGUUUGAUAUCUAUAUUAUGUAUAUACAUCAUUGCUAUUUCAAAUAAUAUGUCAAAGAAUCAUGUGUGUUCCAAGAGCACAUCUUCACUGAGUAUUUUUCCCGGAAUAUUCAUCCCUCUCUUCUUUUUCAGGUAAGAUUGAAGACUAGUACUUGUGGCAGUUGAUGCAGUGUUAUUUCCGGGGACCAUAGAUGUAUUUUAUUUAUUUAUUCUUAAUUAAGAUUUUAAUUAUAUUUAUUUUAGUUUUUUUUUCAAAUAUUUAACAUUCGGUUUAUUGUUAAGAUGUUUUGAGUUUCUGAUUUAUUUAUUUUUAAUAAAGGAUUUUAGACAACAAAUAAUUAUUUAAUGAGUUCGUUAUUCUUUUAAAAGUUAUUAGACCAUCCACAACCCUGAACCUCAUGAUGGGGUUCAUCAGCAUUUUUUAAUAAUUUUUGGAGGAGAGAGAAUGUGGAAGAACCUUAGGUGAACCUGGAGUGAAAAAUAGGUGUCCAACCCUGAUACUUAUUUUGGGGUUCAACAAAAUAAAAUAAUAAUUUUUUUUAACUAUUUUAAACAUUUGAAUAAAAUAAAAUGAAAAGAGUUCUUAAAUUGAGAAAACAAAAGUGAAAGUAAAACUAGUAAUCUUCUAGAUGUCCAAAUUUAUGCCAAAGGUAGAGGGUAUUUUUUUCUAAGCCGUAGCGUGCUCUAGAGUACAUUCUCGUGCUUUUUCAUCGAAACCCGCCUUGUCUUCUUUGUAUAGCUUCGCUUUGGCUUCAUCAAAGUCGUCCCCCUCACCUAUUUCAGGGUUUGUCAGCAUCUCAUGAAGAUUAAUGAACAUCUUAUGGAUGGUGUGAAUAGGCGAGAAGUAGUCCGUUGUCAGCAUCCUUAGGAAGAUAUGACCACGAUCUCCUACAUUGGGAUGAAAGAUUUUGGUUCUAAAGAAGACCUGCAGAAAAUAAAUAUUCAGCAAGCGAUUACUACAAAACCCUGAACCGUUUAAAGCGUCAUACCUUUGGUGGCUUGAACGGGUAUUCCGGAGGGAAGUCCAUGCUGAUUUUGAAGACUCCGUUCUCGUAAGGCGAUCCUGCUGGUCCGAACAGCUCACCCUCCCAAUAAAACAUCUUUCCAUCUACGGGGCCUGCUUUGUAGAGCGGGCUCUUAACCCUCUCAAUCUCUUUUUUCUGCUUCGUUAUGGCUCUUGCCCAGUACGGGACAUCCUCUGAACUUGGCAUACUCUGUCCACAAUAAACGAUUUGAUCAUUUGAGUUACAUAAAUAUCCGAACCAAAUGAGAAAAAAAAAACUUGAAAACAAACCUAAACUCAAGUAACUACUUAAACCUAAUCAUUCGAUAUAACCAGAACACGAUUACAAUACGAUGUCCCUAAAGAUUCGAUACUCCUAAACACACAAUGAACCAUUUCAACCUAAACAUUCGAUAUGACCUAAACAUUCAAUACUUGAAAACACACAAUGAACCAUUUCAACUCACACAAGCGAUUCACACAAGCGAUCAACAAAUCGAUUAACUCACACAAGCGAUUAACUCACACAAGCGAUUAACUCACACAAGCGAACCAAAAUUUAUAAAAGCCCCAAGCGAAUUAGACGCCAAUUGCAAUCCCAAAUGAAAGCCCCAAAAUUUAUAAACAUUUUCGAGAACCCUAAUUUCAAAACAUCAAAUUUUAAAACCCUAAUACGCGAAAUCCGGAAACCGAUUGAAUAUAAGAACAAUGAAUCGCAAACAACUCAUAAUCAACAUCAAAAGCCCCCAAAAAAACUUCCCGAAGAACCCUAAUUUUCCUCCAAUUUUGAAAACCCUAAUAUCGAUUCAACCAACCGACCAAAACUCAAUUAAAAGACUUCUAAAGGAUAUGAACGACGUACCAUACUGAUCGACCGGAGGGGAAGCAACGAUUCACCGGAGAUUCGAUCGGAGGGGAAAAUUGGAUUCGAAGUUGCGAUUUUCGCAAAAUCGCCGUGGAAGUUUUUUUUUUGUGAUAAAAAGAGAAUGCGAAAUAACCCCAAAUGUUCGACCCCGACCCUAAAAAUUUUUCUCCAAACUUCAGCCAAUCAGUGCUUGCCACGUAGGCCGGUGAACCUCGACGAUACGGGCUCGUCGGGCUUAUCCCAGAGAGACAGUAUCAUCGAGUUUUUGGGCCUAAUCGAUUAAAAAAAUUAAAAUAAUAGUAUUGGGCCCCACGAAUGAACUCCGCCCAUCCCGCGUUGUGAAUGGUCUUAGAUGAAUGUAAAUCAAGAUAGAUUUAGUUUGCAAGAUUGUCUCAAAAACCUCUCUGCUUUAAAAUCAAACACACCAGCAACUGCUCGCAAAUCAUUUCAUCAUCACCAAAAAAGGUAUGAGAUGGGCUUUUCUGAUUAUAAGUCAUGUCCACCUGAAAUAAAUUAAUUAGACAACUCAAUAGUUGUACGUCUUCUAAACUUGUCAGAAACCUCGAACAGUGUAGACAAUGUAGUUUCUUUUAAGUUUUCAGGUAUUGUUUCUUUGAUUUGGAAAUUUUUCUAAGGAUGUUGAGGAUUUCAUUUCUGAACAUUUAUCAGUUGUACUUAGUGUUAUGAAACUCCUUGGAAUCAAAAUUUGCGUUUUGGCACAAUGUUUCGUAGGUAAAUUUGAACACUGUUGUUCCGCAGAUUCUUCAAACAGAUUUGUAGUUUAGCAGACAAAUUUUAGGUUUAUGAUUCAAAAACCUGGGAUAUAUUUUCAUAGGAAUAGAAAAAAAAAACAGAAGAUAUCAAAUGGCUUCGUCCGGACACCUUAGACUGACGUGAUAACCACGAAACCAUCUUGACUAAGCUUUCUGUAUUUCUUAAACAUUUUGUCUUCAUUUAUUACUCACGAGUCACAACUCACAUCAGCUCAGUUUGGGCCUAAAUAAGGCCCAUUUAGAAUAUUGUGAGGCGGGAACGGAAUCCAUGUCGCGCUAUGAUGAUCUUUUUGGUAACGAUUAUGAUGUACCGUUGAUUUAAAAUAUUAUCAACGGGUAAGAUCAUCCUACAUAUCGAUCCUCGUCGAUGUCUAAUAACCAAUCAUAUCGAUUACUCGAUCUAUUAUAAAAUCAAAAUCUCGCCUUCAUCGAAUUACUCAGAUUUGUGCUUUCUUCUUUACCCAGAACCAAAAAAAAAAAAGGUCAAAGAGAGAGAUACAUAACAAUGGCGCCGAGAGCAGAGAAGAAGCCAGCGGAGAAGAAACCAGCCUCUGAUAAACCCGUAGAGGAGAAAUCAAAGGCCGAGAAAGCUCCGGCGGAGAAGAAACCAAAGGCCGGGAAGAAGCUGCCGAAGGAAGCCGGCGGCGCAGGCGGCAAUAAGAAGAAGAAGAUGAAGAAGAAGAGCGUCGAGACGUACAAGAUCUACAUCUUCAAGGUCCUGAAACAGGUUCAUCCAGAUAUCGGAAUCUCGAGCAAAG